AUCAUUAUUGAAUAAGCUUGGUUGGGUUGUUGCUGGCUCUUAGGGGCAUGUGCACGCCUAACACCAAUCUUCUUACCACCUGUGCACCUUUUGUAGACCUGGAUAUCUCUCGAGGAAACUCGGUAUGAGGACUGCUGUGCGUCAAAGCCGGCUUUCCUUACAUUUCCGGUCUAUGUCUUCAUAUAUACACCAUUUGCAUGUCUAUGAAUGUUAUUUAUCGGACUUGACUGUCCAAUAAACCUUAUACAACUUUCAACAACGGAUCUCUUGGCUCUCGCAUCGAUGAAGAACGCAGCGAAAUGCGAUAAGUAAUGUGAAUUGCAGAAUUCAGUGAAUCAUCGAAUCUUUGAACGCACCUUGCGCUCCUUGGUAUUCCGAGGAGCAUGCCUGUUUGAGUGUCAUGAAAUUCUCAACCUUUUCGGCUUUUCCUAAGUUGAUCAGGCUUGGAUGUGGGAGUUUGCGGGCUUUUUAGAAGUCGGCUCUCCUUAAAUUCAUUAGUAGGGACCUCUGUUGCCUUAGCUUUUGGUGUGAUAAUUAUCUACGCCAUCAUGUGAAGCAGCUUUAA
rnacentral:rRNA from 1 species